CGCCCCCACCGGCCGGGCAGGUGUCCGCGGGGGCCGGCGGCCGAGACCUGGGCUGGACGCGCGCCGUGCGGGGCCGCCCCUCCACCUGCGCUGCCUCUUCCUCCGCCCGGGCCGCACUUCCGGCCACUCCCGCCCGGCCCGGCCCGGCCGCCCCGGGCCCGGCCGGCCCGGUACUGGGACGUGGGGCGGGAUGGAGUCGGGGGGACGGCCAGGAGAGUAGUUUUGCGAAAAGGGGAAAGUGAAAGUCCGCCGAACUAGGGAGGCGCGACGGAUCCGUUCUCCGGCCAGUCUGGACCCCGGGCGCACUGCGGCAGGCCUCCACAAGAUGGACAACCAACAAUCUUCAGCUUUAUUGCUCUCUGGCCCCCUUCCCAGAUAAGCGAGACCCUGAAGCCAGAAGAAGCCUUGAGAGAACAGAGUGGGCUCACCCCCAGCUGUACAUCCCCUCCCUUGCCUGGGCCUGCCUGCAGACACAGGAUGCCCAAGAGUUUGGAAGCACUCAGCCUUGGACAGGAAGCUCACCCCAGCCAGCAGGUCACCUAUUGCACAACCUGGAGCCUGUCACGUCCCCUCUGGGAUGGUCCGGGAAGGUGAAGCUCAACCAGCCAUUUGCCCUGCAGCCACUCCAAACUGCGGGGGCUGUGGCUGCACACCCGUACCAUUGCUCUGCUCCAGAGGCUGCUUCUGCUGGGGCUCCAGGCACUUCCCCCAGCAGGCAAAAUGCCUCUUUCCCCCAGUGGGGCCAUAGGAGCCUGCAGCACUCCUGCAUUCUAGCUGCAACUGUCAGGAAAUUAUCUGCUCCCUCAACUCUAAACUCCUGGAGGGCAGUAACUUCCCGCUUACCUGGGCGGGGAGAGGAGGGUGUGAGCGGAUCUUAAGCAAAUUUUUCUAGUUUCCAGUGAACCUUUGUGUGAACCCUUUUGGAUACUUGGGUCAUCCUCAGUCUAGCAGUGGUGAAUCCUUUUGGAUACUUGGGUCGCCCUGAAUCUAACAGCUGGAGGGGAGGAGGGGGAGGGGGAAGAGGAAGAAGAAGAAUUGGCAAAGACUCCAUAGGUGCCAGGAAGGAAGGGAGUGCUUGGUUCUGCAGGCAGCCCCAGGCAGCCCGCACCCUGGGGUGUUCACGGGAAGCCAGAGCUGAAAUUCAGGGAGGCUGGGCUUUCCCCUGCUUGCCCAGGGGGAGUUCUGUGCUGUUCCCUGAGUCAGGAUUGCUGCCCAAACCUGGAACAGAGGGGGCAGGGGAGGUUUUUCAAAAUGAACAACUCCCUAGUCCCCCCCCCCCACACACACACACACCAGUCUCCAAAGAUACUGCCUCAGUGAGAGGAGGCCCAAUGUCCAUAGUUCACAAACCCCGUAGAGACUGACUCUAUUAUGAAGCCAGAAAUGACAGAUUCGUUUCUUCGGUUGUGGUUUCGGUUUUGGUUUCUGGUUUGGGGGUCACACUCGAUGGUGCUUGCUCUCGGCCCUGGCGGGCUUGGGGGAUCGAAUCCAAACUGGCCAUGUGCAAGGCAAGUGCCCUGCCUUCAGUACUAAGGCUCCAGCCUCCCCACCAUUUGGUUAUUUUAAAGUAGUGGUUCUUAAAAAAAAGUAGCGGUUCUUGAAUGAGUGCCCCCCAUUUGGUUAUCAUGGCCGCUCACAAAAGGCCAUUGUAUUUAUAGUGCCCAGAAGCCCCCUCCCCCCCCACGGUCACAAAUUAUCAGGCCCCCCAAAUGCCAAGAAGUACCUAGGUUGAGACUGAUUUUAGAGCCACAAAUCUGAUAUUCCAGGGUGAGUAGAUAACCUCCAUCCCACCCUGCUUGGAGCCUUCCCUCCUGGUGGCAGCCCAUGUGAUCUUUUUCAAUACCAGCAGCUCAUCUAGUGUUAGGAUUGCCUGAAACCCUUGGCUACUCAUUCCUUUUAGAAUAAAACCUUAAUCCUUAAUCUAGCAUAAUCUGCCUUUCCACUUUAGAUCUGAUUUACUGCUACAGCAGUAAGACUUUCAUUUCUCCUUCCCCUCCCAAUUACUGUUUCUUGGGCCAACCCCCAGGGCUGGCCCUGUGCAUCAAGUCACAUGAAAAUGAACAAUCCUUCCUCCUGCCCCAGGGUCUUAACACAGGCUAUUCUGUCUAAAUGGGCCUUCCUUGGGCCCAAGUAACUUCUAAAUCUCCUCAGAACCUAGUUCAUGGGUAACUUCCUCAGGAAGUAUUAAGCCAUUCUUUUUCUUUUUCUUUUUUUUCUUGGUUUGUUUUUGGACCACACCCGGUGGUGCUCAAGGCUUAGGCCUGCCUCUUAGCUCAGAGAUCACUCUGGGCAGGCUCAAGGGACUAUAUGGGGUGCCAGGAGUAAGAGCCUGAAUGGGCCACAUGCAAGGCUAUCGCCCUAACUGCUAUUUCAUCACUCAGCCUGCAGGAAGCCAUUCCUAAUUCUCCUCCCCCAACACAUACCUGCCAAUCACAGGCACUGUCUCGCAGACUGUUUAUUUUCUUCAGAGUAAUCAUUUCAGAGGCCAGGGAGAUAACUCAGUGGGCUGAGCACACGAAGAUGUGGUUCUGUCCUCCACACCACAGUUAUGCCCCCAACGCUGAGCUCAGAGCUGCUGACCACUGCUGGGUACUGACCAAAGACCAAAAAAAAAAAAAAAAGUAAUUAUUUCAGUUCAUGGGUAUUUAUUCCUAUGAAUUUAUAUUUGACAGUAAAAUUGUCUCAUUUGUGGCAUAGACUUCUAUGAAUAGACUCGUGUAACUGUCACCACAGCCAGGAAACAGAACAAUUCCCUCACCCCCACAAGCUCCUACCUGCUGUCCUUUGUAGUUGUACCCUCACCCGUAUUUGGCAACCAAGAUCUGCUUCCUCUACUGCCUGUAGUGUGAUUUUUGUCUUUUUUCCAGAAUGCCAUAUAAAAGUUGUCUAUGAUUUCACAUAGCAUAAUAAUGUCUUGGCUAUUUUCACUCAUGUAAACUGUGCAACAAUCAUCUAUUUCCUUUUAAAGAACAAUAUUUCUGUGAAUGUGCCACCAUUUUUUGGUAUAUACCUUCUGGAUGAAUUGGUCUUCCUUGGGCCCAAGUACAUUUUAAAUUAUUCUCUGUAGAUCCAUUCACCUGUUGAAGAAUUUGUGAUUAUUUUCAGAGUCUGGCAUUGUG